UUGGUCAGUUCAAGUAAUAAUACCCCAGGCACCCUCCCUGGCCCUGGAGCAUGGUUUUGGCUCAUGAGAUCCAUGAGAUUCACAUCUCUGCUUUCCCAAGGUAUCUUGGGCUACCCGACUGAGGAUUCUCCUUUCACCAGAAGGUGAAAAUACUCAUGGCUUUUGUCUGCUUUGCUGAUCAUCAGACAAUUUGGACAUCAUUCAUGGGGGUUAAAUGUGAGAUUUCCAUCUGUGUUGGUCACCAAUGAUCCCUUGCAGUCAAUGGAAAGAAGGAGAAACUAUUUGGUCACAGGCCAUCUCAUACCCUAAAAUUGCUUAUUUCUCUACUAGACUGCACAAAAGUUUAAGACAGUUGAAUUAGUGUUUGUUUAUCAGGUUUAGAUUACUAUAAUUACACUCCCUGAGUCCUACCUCUUCUACUGUCUCACCCACUGCACUCCAAGGUGACAAGUUUCUUUUCCCAGCCUUGCUGGCUCUGUGCCAGUCAUCAAAAUUCAUUGAAACUUGCUCAGAUAUUUUUUGUUUGUGCAUAUACAGUAUUGAUAAAUGGCCACAGGGGAGCCAUAUGGUACAAGAAAGCUGUGGUUCUAAUGGGUUGGUUUGGACUCAGUUUGACUCUAUAGCCCUUUAAUAAAAGGUUGAGAACUCAAAAUAAAUAUCCACUGUGGAGAGUUACUAGAAAAUCAUUAAUCAGCUCCUUGAUGAGAUAUUAUCUUUAUCUAUAAUGUCUAAUAAGGUAAACAAAAGAAAUCUGUGUAAGGAAAACAGGUGGUGUUUAGAACCUGAUGGCCACAGCAUAGACACUUCAAGAGUGUUUGCCUUGGGUCAGCUGUAGUCUGAACCCACAGACUGCAGGAGUGGUGCCUCUGAAGAUCUCCUGGAAUAUCCUCUGGUCCAAUUUAACCUAAAAGGAAUAGUUGCCAAGCUUCAAGACUGCCAGAGAAGCCAAACCAGUGCACGAAUGAGAAGGGAAUCUCACCUGAGCAAGGAAGGUUUCUCCUGUACUCCUGGGGAUGCUGCUUAGUAACUGACAUUUUCCCUCCUAAGAUUAUUGCAGUGGCUGACCAUUCCUCCAUUUGGAGAGAUCCAAAGGACCAUUGCUUUGAAGGAGCUCAGAGCAAUCAGAACAUCUGAAACACUGCUCAAAUACCAAGAGUGAAGUAAUAGAUGGUGAUUGAUAGUUUUCACUUUGCUUGCACGGUACAUCCAGCUCCCCUCAUUCACUGCCCAUUUAGACCCUGAUACAACUGAGCUCAGGAUUCAGCCGAGGUCUACAGCUUGUUCACUUCUAAAAGCCCAUGACUGGUUUCAGGGUGGCAUUGUGCAGAUACAGAAUUGAUGCAUGUCCUUGAAGAAUGCCAGUCUGAAUAUAAUCAACCAGAGAGAGAACUGAGCCAGUGAAGCAGCUUGUCCAUUAACACACAACAAUAAAAUGAGCCUCUGUUCUCACUGUGGUUGUCACAGGUAGAUGUUCUGAAAACUUCUUUGAAACAUAAUUAUCAAGUAUACAGAAAUGAGGUGAUGGAGCACGAUCUGCUUUCAAGGUCCUUGGAUUUCUGGGCUGUGCCUUAGGAUUUCAUUUCUUCUAAACGUGAGAGCAUUCCUUUCCCAGGGACUUUCUCAGCAGUGAAGCAUUUUCCAUAUUCAAAGUCAAGGACUUGCACACAGCAGAUUGAAGCUUGUUGACCAUGCUGAAACCUGGUAGCCACAGCUAUUUCUCCCCCUCACAUUCAGACCUCAUUUAAGAUUCAAUUGAUAGAAUUAAAAAAAAUAAAAUUAUUGUAUCAAAAGAUAAAAUCUUCCCAGCAUGAGCCAUAUCUUUCACUUAUCAAUGCUCAAUUAUUCUGUGUUGUGCUUUUUGCUUCCUGGAGCUGUGCUACAUGGAACCCAACACAGCCAGGGCUUGUAAAGACCCGUUACGUCCUUAGAUUCCAGACCUGCAAGGUCACUUCAUCAAACCAAAGCUCAUUAAAAAGAAGGAAGAAAGGUGAUCUACCAUUCUGACCUCGGACAUUGUAGCUGAAAAAGCCCUUUGCCAUUUAUAUUUCAACUUUCAAUGAGUAUAUGACUCAGUACUGGAAGGAUUUGUAGCUGACACUCAAUAGAAGCUGCUCUCGAAUUUUGACAAAUCCCAUCUUGAGCCGAGAAGAGAAACAGAUAUUGAUCCUAAGUGUACCUAAUUCAUCUCUGCACUUGUAAUCCCAAAAGAAAAUGGCUUCUAUAACCAGAGGGCGUUCAAUAUU